AUUGAACGCUGGCGGCAGGCCUAACACAUGCAAGUCGAGCGGAGCGGGGGUCGGGGGAGUGAGAGCUAGGAAUCUGCCUGGUAGUGGGGGAUAACGUUCGGUACCGGGCGCUGAUGCCACUUACUCUCAGCUUAGGCUAGGUCGGAUUAGCUAGUUGGUGGGGUAAAGGCCUACCAAGGCGACGGUCCGUAACUGGUCUGAGAGGAUGACCAGUCACACUGGAACUGAGACACGGCCCAGACUCCUACGGGAGGCAGCAGUGGGGAAUAUUGGACAAUGGGCGAAAGCCUGACGCAGCCAUGCCGCGUGUGUGAAGAAGGUCUUCGGAUUGUAAAGCACUUUAAGUAGGGAGGCGUUACCAACAGAAUAAGCACCGGCUAACUUCGUGCCAGCAGCCGCGGUAAUUC
rnacentral:rRNA from 1 species